CCCGUGUUUGGCGGGCGAGGUUUCGUGCCUUCCAUCCCAUGCUCGCCCACCGAUCAAGACGAUCAUCAGUGGCUCCUACGAAAGCCAAGGAUGAGAUCAAAGAACUAAUGAUUUUGUUAGGUGGUUUGUAAAUAGGACACAUUGAUACCCAGGUUUAUCUAAGUGUGAAGCUUCACGACUUUGACGAGACUGAUGGCGUAUACGGGGACAGUAGCGCCAAUUUGUUAGGUGGUUUGUAAAUAGCACGCCUUCUUUUAUUCUUUCACUUUCAUUUGCUAACUGCCGCAGUUCAUUCUUCCAUCUACAAUCAGUUUUGUGUGGUUCGGGCACAUUCUUGCCACUUUGCUGUUUGUCGCCGAGAUCUUCAUCUUCCUUUACAUUGGAAUGGAAGCGUAUCGAGAAGUGGGGAGUUGUCAGCAAUAGUCCUGGAGAAAUCGAUCAAGGUCAGCUCGAUGUUGUGGGACUCUGUUUUGAUUGGAAGAGCCGCCUUUGUUUUCCCCCUGUCGAUUCUUGUUUAACUUGGCUAGGAAGUCUAAGUACGAAAAGAUCCAUUUAAAGCAGCAGGUUAGAAACUAGAAUUUUCUUGCGGAUUUUCCUGCCUAUGAGGUAGUCAGCAUGAUCGAGUUUCCGAACUAAACUCUGACAUGUUCAGGUCACAUUUUGGUGGGCAGGGCUUAUGCGUGGCACUGUCUCCAUGGCACUCGCCUAUAACCAGUUUACUCGGUCUGACACGAAAUUGCGGGGCAACGUGUGUACGAUCGCACGAACCAUCACGGCCAUUCUGUUUAUCCCUGUGGUAAGAUGGCGUUUCAUAUGUCGAGUCUAAUUGGUGGCAUAACAUGUAACUUGUUCCUCAAGGUAUCAUUCUUCGAUACAGGCGUUUGGACAGCUGAUGAAGCCUCUGGUGAGAAUCUUGCUUCCUUCGACCAAAUACUUUGUCAGCAUGAAAUCUUCCGAGCCAUCAAGUCCGAAAUCCUUCAUGCAGCCACUGCUCAGUAACGGACACAACUUGGAGUCUCACCAGAAUGGCAAAAGCAUACUUUGACCGAGAAGUUUGUGCAAGCUCCUGAGUACGCCUUCUCACACGGUGCCCUAUUACUGGCGAAAAUUCGACAAUGCCUUCAUGAGGCCCCUGUUCAGCCAGGAGGUUUCGUGCCUUUCAUUCCAUGCUCGCCCACCGGUCAAUGCGAUCAUCAGUGGCUCUAACGAAAGCCGAGGAUGACAUCAAGAGCUAAUGACUUUGUUUGAUGGUUUGUAAGUAGGACACAUUCAUACACAG